rnacentral:rRNA from 1 species
UACGUAGGGGGCAAGCGUUGUCCGGAUUUAUUGGGCGUAAAGAGCGUGUAGGCGGCCAGACAGGUCAGCUGUGAAAACUCGAGGCUCAACCUCGAGACGUCGGUUGAAACCGUCUGGCUAGAGUCCGGAAGAGGAGAGUGGAAUUCCCGGUGUAGCGGUGGAAUGCGUAGAGAUCCGGAAGAACACCGGUGGCGAAGGCGGUCUGCUGGGCAGUUGCUGACACUGAGGCGCGACAGCGUGGGGAGCAAACAGG